rnacentral:rRNA from 1 species
UACGUAGGGGGCAAGCGUUGUCCGGAUUUAUUGGGCGUAAAGCGCGUGUAGGCGGCCAGGUAGGUCCGCUGUGAAAACCCGAGGCUCAACCUCGGGACGUCGGCGGAAACCAUUUGGCUAGAGUCCGGAAGAGGAGAGUGGAAUUCCCGGUGUAGCGGUGAAAUGCGCAGAUAUCGGGAAGAACACCCGUGGCGAAGGCGGCUCUCUGGGACGGUACUGACGCUGAGACGCGAAAGCGUGGGGAGCAAACGGG